rnacentral:rRNA from 1 species
UACGUAGGGUGCGAGCGUUAAUCGGAAUUACUGGGCGUAAAGCGUGCGCAGGCGGCUUUGCAAGACAGAUGUGAAAUCCCCGGGCUCAACCUGGGAACUGCAUUUGUGACUGCAAGGCUAGAGUACGGCAGAGGGGGAUGGAAUUCCGCGUGUAGCAGGGAAAAGCGUAGAUAUGCGGAGGAACACCAAUGGCGAAGGCAAUCCCCUGGGCCUGUAAUGACGCUCAUGCACGAAAGCGUGGGGAGCAAACAGG